UUGGCAUUGCAUAGAAAAUUGGAGAUGUCGGUUAUGGCGGUGGGGGUUGUAGCAGUGGCGUGGUGUUUGUUUUUUGUGAAUGGGCAUGUGUUGGGGGAAGAUGGUUUUCAAGGUUUGAUGGAUUUGGAGGAGAUUCCCUCCCCAAAUCCUCUCAUGGUGGACCUCACUCUCAUUCCAGGAGCUGCUGCUAGAGGAGCUGGUUUGUUUUCAUUUCUUCACGUCUUCUACUCUCUUUGCUUCCUUCUUCCACAUUUAUUAUUACUAUUUUUCUAAUUAUACAUCUUCUUUCAAUGCUAUAGUUUGUUUGGAUGGAACUCUACCUGGUUACCAUUUCCAUCCCGGUUUUGGAUCAGGUGCCAACAGCUGGCUCAUUCAAUUGGAGGUGUGUAAAUGGAUUCCCAAGAUGAAUCAAUUUUCUUUCUUUUCCACUGCAUUGGAUCCAAGCUUUUGGAUUUAAGCUGGGCAGGACAUUCUCACAAUCCUGAAAAUUCUAUAUGGAAAAAAAAAAAAAAAGAUCUGAGCUUUUGGAGCUGAAGUCUGUGAUUUCACUGAAUUGGGUUUCUUGAUUGCAGGGUGGGGGUUGGUGUAACAACAUAAAAUCUUGUGUUUUUCGCAAAACAACUCGCCGGGGUUCAUCCAAAUACAUGGAAAAGACAUUAGCCUUCACGGGAAUACUAAGCAAUAAAGCUGAAGAAAAUCCUGGUCCUGACUCCAAUUAUUGAUUCCCAUUUCAGCAGUGGCUCUGCUUGUUGCUUUUACUCUAUAUUCUCUUAAGAUUUUAUUCAUGGUCCUUUUCUCCUUUAUGCUGCAGAUUUUUUCAACUGGAACAGAGUCAAACUUAGGUACUGUGAUGGCGCAUCUUUUAGUGGGGAAGGUCAAAAUAAGGUUGGCGAGAGCAUCUACCCAUUAUAAAUUUUUCCCUAAAACAAUUAUAUUUUUCAUGGCAUGUAAGACUAGUCAGUCUGAAAUCUACCAUGGAGGAGCUGUGAUUAGGACAUCAGCCUGCUAAAUAUAUAAAUCCUCUAACUGUAAAUUUUCUUAUUAUUAGAAAAAUUGUAAUGAGCAGAUGAUAGCCUAAUAAUUCAUUACUUUCCACUGGACUUUCUGUAAUUGGAUUCUAUGAUUAUUGGUAGCCUAUCAUCUGCUCAAGCAUAGGGCUUACUAAGAUACCAUUGCUUAAAAAACUUCACGUUCAUAUUUUCUAGAAAAUCAUUUCCUGUUCUUGUCUGCAACCUCUAGAAGUUCGAAAAAAAAAAAACCUUGCCUUUUCAUAAUCAGGGAAGUUGAUUUUUCUUAGUGAUAAGCAAUUGUAUCAGAAGGGAAAGUGAUGUGUUGGGUUCUUUGGGGCUUUUUGUUCAUUGUUAGUAUUAACCAAUUGUAGCUGAUGUUUGCUGAUUCUGUUCUCAGGCCACUGGACUUUAUUUUCGAGGACAACGGAUCUUUGAAGCUGGUAUGGAGGAGCUAAUGUCGAAGGGGAUGAAGAAUGCUGAUCAGGUUUUGCAUUUGGCAUAUUCUCUAAGCUCAUCUUUUCAAUUUGAAUUUCUUGUUAUUCUAUUAAGACAAACAAAUGUGGUUCAGGCUCUUCUUUCUGGAUGCUCUGCUGGGGGACUGGCGUCUAUACUACAUUGCGAUGAGUUUGGCGAUUUAUUUCCUAAAACUACAAAAGUGAAAUGCCUGAGUGAUGCAGGGUUCUUCCUUGAUGCGUAAUUUUCCAUCCUUAAUUAUUGUUCAUAUAAAUUCGAUUAGUGCAUAGCAACUUCAUUGGCUUGAAAAUAUUAUUCUCAUUAUGGGUUUUGUUUGGAUUUUAGAACCGAUGCAGCUGGUGGGCACACCAUGAGGAAUUUGUAUGCUGGUGUAGUUAGCUUACAGGUAACACCCAUCAACUUCUUUUUAGCCUCAAGACUUUAAAAUCUUUGGCUUUUAUUUAGUAGAAUGUUUCUAAAUCUUUUGUUCCUUCUUGGAUAUGUGUUUUCCGACUCUUGAUUAUAAUUUGUAAGGUUUAGUUUGUAUAACCGUCUGGACACUGAAGCCUUGAUUGAUUACCCAACCAUACCAUCACUCUGUUGUUGUUGAUUAUGGUAGUUUUGAUUUUGGAACUUGUAUGAAAUUUUAGGGAGUAGAGAAGAACCUGCCAAGCACUUGUACCACCCGUUUAGAUCCAACUUCGGUAACAUUCUGCCUUCUCUUGAUUUUAUUUAAUCCCAUGAAUCGGAUUUUGUACGAGAAAUGAUGUUAAACAAUGAGAUUUGCUUACUCUUUCCCAGUGCUUCUUCCCUGAGAACUUGAUCGACAACAUUAAGACUCCACUCUUUCUUCUCAAUGCAGCCUAUGAUGCAUGGCAGGUAACUUCUAUUCCCAACAAUGUGAAAUAUUUUCACUCUUUUAGGAUAAUCCAUUGAAUGAUGAGUUCAAUUUGCAUUUUCUUUUUUUUCGGUUUUCGAUCCCUCAGUUUCAGGAAAGUUUAGUUCCAUCAAGUGCUGAUCCCCAUGGUGAAUGGAAGGGAUGCAAAUUAAAUCAUGUCAAUUGUAAUUCAACACAGAUCCAGUUUCUCCAAGGUAAUUUCCUCAUUUUCUUUCCAUCUUUCCAUGCCCCUGGCAUACAAUGUGAGAAUACAUAAUGAUCUUCUGUUUUUCCUGCUCUAUGAAACAGAUUUCAGGAUGGAAAUGCUUGAUGAUGUCAAAGGUUUUGCAAGGGAUGAUCAAAAUGGGCUCUUCAUAAAUUCGUGCUUUGCUCACUGCCAGACUGAGUUACAGGAUACAUGGUUUGCUGAUGACUCUCCUUUUCUUGGAAAAAGGGUAUGCCAUAGAUUUGAUCCAUUCAUUUUGACAUUCUCCUUCCAUGAUUUAGAGCAGAAUUAGUAUAAGUUUCAUGGCUUUCAGCCAUCUCAUUUCCCUGUAUGGUUAAAGACUCGGCACAAUAGAAGGCAUGGAAAUUGAACUCUAAAUUAAUUAAAUUUUCAAUAUUGCAGAAGAUUGCAGAGUCUGUUGGAGACUGGUAUUUCGAUCGAAGACCCGUCAAAGCCAUCGACUGUCCAUACCCCUGUGACAACACCUGCCACAACCUGGUCUUCAAGUGAGCACAACCUGCCCACCAGCUCCUCCUAUGGCUUCUCCUUCUCCCUUCUCCCUUCUCCCUACUGCCAUUUCAACGAAUUGUAACAUUUCUUAAGAUGAUAAAGCAAUCGUUUUAGCAAAUGGAGAAAUAGAUGCUACAGGACUUGCCCCAUGUAAUUCCCAGAGGCUUAAAGUCAUGGAAAUGAAAAUUUUCUUUCCAAACACAACUGUUUAAGUAGCUAAGCACAGAAAUGAAAGACAAGUUUGGGGUUUUAUAAUGGCUGUAAGGUGGGGCGGAGUCUUCAAGAGUGGGGGGACACCGGCUACCACACAAAGAAUCCAAUCAAUGAUGUAUCUGUCGGUCGUUCGUCCUCAUUUCCAAGAUGGCAAAAUCCAAACUGACCAAUAAAAAUGAAAAAGAGUGGGGUUUGCUGUCCAAACAGCCUUCAUUCCCAUAGAACCUCCUGCAAGUCCACAGCCUGAAACUACUUUUGUGGAGUUGUUCAUACACCGCAGCCUUCGACUCAGUCAAAAAAGCACAUUUGGAGACAAAAAAAAAAAAAAAAAAUUAAAUCAUUUUGAUUUGAAAGUAUAUGGAAAUUUUAAGUUAUUAUUAAAAGAUGUAUUUUUAAUUUUAAAAUUUUAUUUUAUCAUAGAAACAUACUUUUUUUCGUUGUUCAUAUCAUGCCUAUCAAUCAUCAUUUACUACUGGAUUGCCACCACCUUUCAUCCCCUACCUCCUUCACCCAUCAUCAUCAUCAUAUAUCAUAUCUAUUAUGAGGUGUUUUACAUCUUUUUAUUUUGAAAAAUACCCUUAUUAAUGCUAAUAAUCAACUUAAAUGGAAAUUUAAUUUUUUCACCCUUUAAUUUCUAUAUCAUCAAUCCUUUUAUUAAGGUUUAAUUUAGGGUUUUAAUUACUUAACGUAACAAAAAUUUGUAAUAUUCAUAACUUGAUUUUGAUUUAAUAUUCGGAUUGAAAUUGCCAUCACAAACUUAUAAAAAUAAUUGGACAUGCUCAAUCUUUGAAUUGCUCUCAACCUAAAAAAUAAUUGAAAAUUUAAUCUUUUUAUUUGUCUCCGAUUUCUAUCAAUUAUUUCAACGGGGAUUUAAUUACUUAUCGUAACUUAACAUAAUAGAAAUAUGUAUGUUCAUAAUUCAAUCUUGAAACUAUCUCAAGAAAUUUCGAGGGAAGACAUUAAUGUUUGUUGGAAACCUCUUAAACUAGGCAUUCAGUUUAUUUUGUACCCUUGGCUUAAUGAGAAAAUGGAUUGAAUUCUAUAGGAUCAAACCUAUGGAAAGUUAGGAAUGAUGGAAGGGAAUAAAAUAAAAAAUAAAAAAAAUAAAAAAAUAAAAAUGAAGUCGAAGAACCCAUAUUCCAAAUGAGUAAAGUCAAGACAUCCAACUUCUACAUGUUGAUUUGGACUUGGCGACAACUCCUAUGAGUCUGUUUUUCCAUCUGAAUUGACAGGCUAGAAUGGUCUCAAACAUUGUCAGAAGUCAAUGAGGAAGACUACAGAUCUUAAACAUUGGAGGUGGAUGAGGCCUCACUGUAGAUGGUAACAUUAUCGGUUGAAUUGGAUGAUGGCCUAACAUCCGAACUUGCAGAUUCAACUGACUUAAUUGCCUUCCUAUCACAUAAGCAGUGACGUUAUGCCAGCAGUCCAACGUCCCCUUCGAACCCCUUUGAGAACAUGGCAUAUGCCUGCUUAAAAACCUUGUCUUUACAUUAGUUUUUAGGUAACUCAUCCUCCAUCCUAUUUAACUAAGUGUUGCCCAUGAUCCACCGAUCUGAUAUUUAUUAGUCUCAACCAUAGAGUCCAAUCUAAAUAUUAUAUGUAUGGAAGAGAAAAGUCUGGUUUUGAUAGAAGAUUAUUGCAGAGUAUUUUUUGAAUUUCAGAUUCAGAACAAAGAUGAAAAACUAUUAAGGUCUAUUUGGAACUCUUCUACAAAUUAGGGUUUUUUUUUUUUUUUUGUCUUUCUUAAUAACAAAUUUAAAGUAUUUUAAAUUAUAUUUGAAUGUUUUUUUGAGAAAAUAAAUAAAAUAUAUUUAAUAUUUAUAUAUAUUUUUUUACAAGAAAAUGUAUGGAAAUACACCAUUAAUUUCACAAAUAUAAUUUUUUUAAAUAAUUUUUAACAAAAUAAUAUAAGUCAAUAAUUUUUCUAUUAAGAAUUUUUUAUUUCAAUAUUAUUAUUUUUAUUUUAUUUUUUUAAAAGAAAAUAUAUGAAAAUGAACCAUUAAUUUUAUUUAUUUUUAUUUACUCAGUAACUUUGCUUAGUUGCCCCAUCAUAAUUUACGGAACACCCUUUAUAUUUUAAGUUUCCUAUUAAUUGUAGUCCAUUUUUUUACUUCAUUUUAUUUUCAUUACUUUUUCCUUUCUCUUUUCAUUAUUUAACUAAUAUCAAUUCUUUAAUUUUUAUGAAACCUUCAAUUUUAGUUCAUUAAUAAAUAUUAAUUUUGAUUUAUUGAAUAAAAAUGAAGAAAAAAAAUGCAAAUAAUCAAUUAAUGUUAUAUUAAUAAUUAAAAUGUAAUAUUGAUGUCUCUUACAUACACGAUGUCUUGUCUUUCUAAAUCUUCAUCUCUUAGAUAUAAUCCAAGGUUCAAUAAUCAUAUUCUUCUCUUAAGUGCAGACCAAAACAAUAAAGACAGUAAAGAUGAGACAUGUAAUUCAAUAAGAAAAUUGAAGGAAAGACAAAAAAAAAUGGAAUUUUAUGUCUUUCAUUCUCAAUUAUAGUAACCUAAUACAUCUUGAGUGUACUAUUAAGAGUCACUUGCCUAAUUUCAUUUCAUACGGAGAUUCAAUUUAAACUUUCCAUAUCAAAAUUUCAAUGUUUUCAAAAGGAGAAAAAGUAAAUGCCUUAUUAAAUAUGAGAUUCCCCUCUCCCCUUUUUAAUAGGCACAAAUUAAGUGGUCUUAUUUCAUACUUAUAACAUAUUGAGUUCAAAUUUUGAUUUAUAUUAAUAUUUAUAUGUCAUUUUAUCAAUGUAUAAUUUUUUGGUCAUUCUUAUAAAAUGGGAAAUCCAUUUUUUUUUUCUUAUGAUAAUUAUUAUUGUUAUCCAUUGGAUCCUUAGGGCAUUGAACUAGAGAUGUUUGCAACGCUUUUGACAAUCUUAUUUUCUUUUCUUGUGUAAUCAUAUUUCCUAAAUAAAUUUUUUCAUCUAAUAUAUUGAUUAAUUUCAUAUUUUAAGUAUAUAUUGAGAGGUUAUAACAAGAUUUUAAAAAGCCCUUUUAACUAUUUGUAUCUUAUUAUUUACAGAUAAUGCUCAAAUUACGUGGUAUGAGCUGUUUUUCAUUUUUUUAUUUCCAAAAAUACCCUUAUCAAUACUAAUAAUCAACUUAAAUGAUAAUUUAAUAUUUUCAUUUAGUUAGGAUUUUAAUUACUUGAUAUAACAGAAACCAUUCCUAAAGUUAUUAUCAUAAACUUAAAAGGUAAUUCAAAAUUUAGUUUUUUCAAUAAUAAUAAUUAGCUUAAAUGGGAAUUUAAUUUUUUUUAUUUAGUUAGGGUUUUAAUUAUUGGACGAAAACCAUUCCUCAAAUUAUCAUCACAAACCUAAAAGGUAAUUUAAAAUUUAAUUUUUUUCAUACUCAUAAUCAACUUUAAUGAGAAUUUAAUCUUUUCAUUUUGUUAGGGCUUUAAUUACUUAACAUAACCAAAAUCAUUCUUAAAAUUGUCAUCACAAACCUAAAAGGUAAUUGAAAAUUUAACUUUUUUCAUUUACCUCCAAUUUCUAUUUCAUUAGCGGUUUCAAUAUGAAUUUAAUUUAAUGUUUUAAUUAUUUGACUUAACGGAAAUUGUAUAUUCAUAACUUGAUUUUGAUUUUAUAUUCAAAUUCAAUACUUUAUUUUAAUUUUAUAUAUUUUAUAUUCAAAUUCCAUCCUAAAAUUGCUCUCAAGAAACUAUAAGGGGGUGUUUGGUACGUCGGAUAGGGAAUGAAAAUAAUAUUUUGUUUCCUUUCCUAUUUCUUAGUGGAAUGGAAUGAAUUUGAUGAUUCCAUUUCUAGCAUUUGAAUGAACUUAAGAAUGCAAGAUUGGAAUGAUUAUUUGUUUCCAUUCCAAUGUUUGAUAAUAAUAGGAAUGGAAAUGAAAAAGAAAUAAAUUUACAAUAAUAUCCUUACAUAUAAUUUAAAAUAUUUUUUUAUUUUUACUUUUAUUUUAAAAAAAUAAAAUUUGAGAGGUUUUUUGUUAUUAAAUAAUAAGACUAAAAAAUAUAUAUAUAUACUCAAUAAAUAAAAAAUUAACCAUAAAAAAUCGUAUAACCCUAAUGCACAAAUAUUCAAUUAUUAUUUUUAUUAAAAAUUUGAAUAAUUUGUCAUGCUUAAGUAGUUAUAAAAUUAUAUUUUUCAAAAAAAAAUUAUUUAUUAUAAUAUUUAAAUUCUCAAAGCUAGCAAAUGUUUUUCCUAUUUUCAAAAGAGGAAAUAAAAGAAUUCUAAUUUAUUCUAAUUUUCAACAAGUAUCAUAUCCGAUAAAAUCCAUAACCUUAAAAAAAAUUUUAAAUAUUCGUUUUUUUUUAUCAAAAUUUUAAAUAAUUUUUCAUGCAAAAAAAGCUAUAGAAUCCAUAAAUGAAGAGAUCUUCACUAUGGCCCAUGCUAAAGUUCCAAAAUGAGCCGGAAACGCAGCAGAUUUUCUGUGAGACGGAAGAAUCCAUAGCUUUAACUAGGAAAGGAAGACGCUGAUAAUAAUAAACAAAGGGGAAAAAAAAACCAAAAGUUUUGUUUUUGUUUUUUUUUUCUUUUUAUUUUUUUCCUAACCAUUAAAAAUUUUCAAUAUUGUGAACACCGUGAAAUCGAAAAAUCUUUUUCCAACCAUUUCAAUUUUUCUUUCUAGUUUCCAUUAAUACAAGAUAAAGAAACAUCAAAGAUUCCAAACAUAAAUUAAUAAAAAAAAAAUUAAUCGAUUUAUAGAGAAGAAGAAACACAUAUAAAGAAGUAGAAGAAGAAAGAGAAAAUAAGGUAAACCUGAUCGAAGAUGUAGAAGGGAGUUUUCAGAACCCAGUUGCAACAAACAAUGACGAAUCUUAUAUCCAACAAUCAAAAUGAACAUCCAAAACCCUAUAAAUUAGAAAUUGAUUUUUUUUUUUUUAAAUAUCGUGGAAGGUUUAAUUGAUUCAAUUUGGAAGAAUCACUUGUUGCAGAGAAUUGGAUGAUGAGUGGGUCUCUAGCUUUGCAAAGAAGAUAAGAAGUUGAUGAUGAAUAGAUCUCUACCUUUACAAAGAAGAUAAACAUCAGGUUUGAAGAACAAGAUAAGAGGGUAAAAUAGUAAUUUAGGUUAUUUUAUAUUAUCAAAUAAGUUUAAUGAAUCAGAAUACUACCUACUUUUAAUGAAUGCAAAUCCGACUCAUAAGUUGGAUUUGAUUUCUGUCGGAAUAAUUUUUUAUUUCAUUUCCGCCUUCUUAACAUCUAUCCAAACAUAGGAAUAAGGGAGAAAAGGAAUGAGAUGUCUAUUCCCACUCCCUAUUCCUGUGUACCAAACACCCCCUAAAGGAAAAUGUUGAUGUUUGUGGAAACCUCUCAAACUGGAUAUUCAUCUUCGGCACAAUAGUCUUACGUCCCAUCUAGCACAACAUGUGAUUUUUAUCAGUCUCAACCAUAGAUUCUACUUUAUUUAUAAUAUGUAUGAAGAAAAGUCUGGUUAUGAUAGGAUAUCAUCACAGAUUGUUUUUUCGAUUUGGCAUUUGAAAUUAAGAUGAAGGACAAUUACGGUUUGUAAGGAACUCUUUCACAAAUUAGGUUUUUAUUUUUGUUUAUUUAUUUAUUUUUUAAUAAUAAAUUUGAAGUAUUUUAAAUCAUAUUUGAAUGUGUUUUGAAAAAAUAAAUAAAAUAUAUUUAUUAUUAUUAUUAUUAUUAUUAUUAUUAUUAUCCUAACCUAUCUUUCAUUUCUUCAAUGAAAUAAAUUAAUUUUUUUUUAUAAAAAAAUUACAUGAAAUAUUUUACUCGUAAUAGUGAUUUUCAUUUAUUUUGAGAUAUUCAAAUCCUUUAUACUUUUAUAUUUAAUUAAAUAAUAGUGAACUAAUAAUAACACUUAUUAUAUUAUAGAUAGUUAUUGAAUAAAAAAAUUUAUUGCUCAUUUAUAUUAUUUAUUUUAAAAAAUUUAAAUUUUAUUAAGAAAAUUAUAACAUUGUCUUAAAAAUAUUAAGAUUUUGAUAUAAAAUUUACCAAAAUGAAGAAAAAAUUUCUAUUGAGAUUUUAAUUCUUUUAAUUUUUUUUAAAAUAUUUUUAGAACAAAAGAUAUUUUUCUUUUAUAUUUUUUCGGUGUGAUUGAAUAAUUUGAUAUAUUAUAUAUUUUUCUUUUAUAUGGAAUUAUUUUAAUUAAUUUGGAUGGUAUUUUCUAUCUUUAGAAACAAAAAUAAUAAUAAGUUUUACAAAAUAUAUAAUAGUUUUUAAAAGCUAAUUAAAAACAUAAUUUUUAACAACAUAAUAUAAGUCAAUAAAGGAAACCGAUCAUUAAUUUUUUUUUAUUUACUUGUAACGUUAUUUAGUUACCUAUCAUAAUUUGCGGAACACCUUUUAUUUCAUAGGUUUCCUAAUUCAAUUUUUUUUUACUUCAUUUUAUUUUCAUUACUUUUUUCUUUCUUUUUCCAUUAUUUUGCAGCCAAGACAUUUUUUUUUUUUUUAACAAUUAACUUAGAGAAAUCCUAUAUUUCAUAUGAUCAGUCAAGUUUAAAAUUGAUACUUAAUAAUGAAUUAAAUCAGAUCUAUAUGAAUAUGUUUUAUUCCAUAUAUUCAAGUAUAUCUAUGUAUAGCCACAUGGAUAGUUCAAUGUGCUCAUGAGGGUUUGACCUUGAGAUAUGGGUCAUCCAAGGCACAUUAACAUGGUGUACUCCUCCCAUUCAAAUCAAGGUUUGAAACCAAACCUUUCAGAAUGAUAAAUGGGGUAAUUCAAGUGAGACCCAAUGUAGAUCCAACUUUCUAUGGUUAAAUUCUUUAGAACUUGUCCAAGGCACAUUAACAUGGUGUACCCCUCCCAUUCAAAUCAGGGUUUGAAACCAAACCUUUCAGGAGGAUGGAUGAGGUAAUUCAAGUGAGAUCCAAUGUAGAUCCAACUUUUUGUGGUUAAAAUCUUUAGAAUUUAUCAAUGGGUAGAACCUUUUUGGUAUGAACAGUUUAUAAGUCUAAGCAUAGAUGUUCUUAUUUGGACAUCUUGUUUGGGCUACUGGGUUUAUAUUUUUAAUUUCAUGGUAUGGAUAUUAGCAAGAAUUUUUCUUGCAGCUCGUCUUUUUUCUUUUUUCAUAGUCAUACCUUACAUAAUGAAUCUAAUAUAUUUGAUAGGUAUGAUAAACAAUAUUAUUAGGAGCUACUUUAACUAUUGCUCAAAAAGAUAUUAAGAGAAGUUUGACCUAUUCCACAAUGUCUCAAUUGGGUUAUACAUGUUAGCCCUUGGUGUAUAUAUAUAUGAACACGUUGUUUAGAAGAAUUGAUUUUUGUUUUGAUUUUUGUUUUGUUUUUAGUAAUUUUAUGAGAGGAUUUUAUUCUUUUUGUUCUCAAUUUAAGAUUAUGAGUCUCAAAUGAGUUAUAGGUUUUUAAAUCAUAAAUAAAGGUUAUUGAAUGAAGUUUUUAAAACUUCAACACCCAAUUUAUUCAUUGAAAUUGAAAAAUUGAUAUCCAAAAAAAGCAUUCAAAGUCUUUAGAGACGGAUGGUAAGAAGGAAGACCAUGAAUACUAACAUGUUAAAUGAAGUUAUCAUCCAUAAAAUAGAACAAAAUUGUCGAAUGCUUCUUCUUCAAAUUUCAACAGAAUAGAAAUAUGCAUGAAACCUUUUGUCUUGACCAUCUUCAAGAUUGAAGAUAACCCACCCACUAUAUUGGGGAUAUUGUUUUUUUAAUAUCACACCAUACAACCUUAUAUUAAUUUAUUAUUGUUGUAUAUUCUCUAAAUGACUUAUUAAUGUUUUGUUUUUUUUAUAUGCCUAAUUUUAGGAUAGGUUUGACCAAUGGAGUAUUUUCGAUUUGAACCAUCAUCCAAUAUGAAGCAGGAAAGAAAUUUAAUUACUUGGCUCGUAAGGUUUAAAUUUUUUUUUCCUAUAUUUAUAUAUUCUUUUCCUUGUAAUAAUAAUAAUAAUUAUUAUUAACUUUAUAUAUUCAAUUUACUAAUAUAUCCAAAGACCAAAAAUUUGGGGCUAGAAAAGGAAAAGAAAGAAAUAACAACCAAUUAAAAAUGGAAGUGAGGCCUUGGCAUUUCAUAGAAAAAUGAAGAUGUCGGUUAUGGCGGUGGGGGUGGUAACAGUGGCGUGGUGUUUGUUUUUUAUGGAUAGGUAUGUCUUGGGGGAAGAUGAUUUUCAAGGUUUGUUGGAUUUGGAGGAGACUCCCUCCCCAAAUCCUCUCAUGGUGGACCUCACUCUCAUUCCAGGAGCUGCUGCUAAAGGAGCUGGUUUGUUUUCAUUUCUUCACGUCUUCUACUCUCUUUGCUUCCUU
rnacentral:lncRNA from 1 species